rnacentral:rRNA from 1 species
GACGAACGCUGGCGGCGUGCUUAACACAUGCAAGUCGAACGGAAAGGCCCUGCUUGCAGGGUACUCGAGUGGCGAACGGGUGAGUAACACGUGGGUGAUCUGCCCUGCACUUCGGGAUAAGCUUGGGAAACUGGGUCUAAUACCGGAUAGGAACCAUCUUUAGUGUGGUGGUUGGAAAGUUUUUUCGGUGUAGGAUGAGCUCGCGGCCUAUCAGCUUGUUGGCGGGGUAAUGGCCUACCAAGGCGGCGACGGGUAGCCGGCCUGAGAGGGUGUACGGCCACAUUGGGACUGAGAUACGGCCCAGACUCCUACGGGAGGCAGCAGUGGGGAAUAUUGCACAAUGGGCGCAAGCCUGAUGCAGCGACGCCGCGUGGGGGAUGAAGGCCUUCGGGUUGUAAACUCCUUUCGCUAGGGACGAAGCUUUUUGUGACGGUACCUAGAUAAGAAGCACCGGCUAACUACGUG